rnacentral:rRNA from 1 species
GCAAGUCGAACGAAAACACUGAUUAGUUUACUAAGAUGUGUUUUAGUGGCGGACGGGUUAGUAACACGUGAGCAACCUGCCUCGAAGCGGGGGAUAGCCUUCCGAAAGGAAGAUUAAUACCGCAUGUGACCUUCGGGUCAAAGACUGCUUCGGCAGUCACUUCGAGAUGGGCUCGCGGCCUAUCAGUUUGUUGGUGAGGUAAUGGCUCACCAAGACUACGACGGGUAGCUGGUCUGAGAGGACGAUC